UCUUAAGUUCACUAUUACCAUCCACUCAAACACAUGUUGGAGCAAAAUACAAGGUCUUAAGGUUCUAUAGGAUUGGGUUUUACUUCCCUUUCUAUUUCAUCCAUUGCUACAUACAUCAUCACAAAUGGCUUAGAACCCCCCUUGUCAUAGACCGAUUCUGAAUCAAUGGUGUAGAUUAUUAAGAUUACAGGAGCCAAUCUCUUUACUUUCAACGCCUAGACUUCAUCCCAUUAGGAGUAUAACAGUAUAGACUGAUAUAAUACAAGUAUUGUAAAAGAAGUGGGAUCAUAUUUUUAGCAGAAAACACAACAGGUUGUGUUCAAAAUGGAAACCUGUAUUGGAAUGUAGCCUCACGCAGGCAUGGGAAAUUAAUUAGGCCAGUUUUACUCACCUUUUGUAAUUAUUAUGGAGUUUGUAAGUUAAUUUAGCGUUACAGGCUUAUUACUGAACUUUUUUGUAGCAGCGAGCAAGCCUAAGAGAAAUAUCGAUAAUAUCAACAGCAACAUGCAGAUGAUUCCCCUUGUUUUUGAUGAUGGAGAGGCAAUGGUUGAGGAGUAUCUUCACAGGGAAAACACAACUCAUAUGGGCAUUGGCCAUGUUCUGGAUCUUGCAAUGGGUGGGUUGAGCUGGUUAUUUAUGUGGAUUUUUACUAUAUUUUUGACUUGUCAAUGUGUGACCUCAGCAAUUUUGGCCACUUAAAUAUAUUAUUUUAGCCAUUUGCCCACAC